UACGUAGGGGGCGAGCGUUGUCCGGAAUUAUUGGGCGUAAAGAGCGUGUAGGCGGUUCGGUAAGUCUGCCGUGAAAACCCAGGGCUCAACCCUGGGCGUGCGGUGGAUACUGCCGGGCUAGAGGGUGGUAGAGGCGAGUGGAAUUCCCGGUGUAGCGGUGAAAUGCGCAGAUAUCGGGAGGAACACCAGUAGCGAAGGCGGCUCGCUGGGCCACACCUGACGCUGAGACGCGAAAGCGUGGGGAGCAAAC
rnacentral:rRNA from 1 species